GACGAACGCUGGCGGCGUGCUUAACACAUGCAAGUCGAACGGUAAGGCCCUGCUUUGGUGGGUGGCGCGAGUGGCGAACGUGUGACUAACACGGGAGUAACCUGCGCUUUACUUUGUGAAAACAUCAGGAAACAGGGGCUAAGACCUGAGAGGAGCUGCGGCGGCAUGGUGGGGGUUGGAAAGUUGCGGCGGUUGGGGAUGGACUCGGGGCUUAUGAGCGUGUUGGUGGGGUAGUGGCUUACCAAGGCUUUGACGGGUAGCCGGCCUGAGAGCGUGGCCGGCCACAUUGCGCCUGAGGGACGGACCAGAGUCCAACGGUGGGCAGCAGUGGCAAGUAUUGCACAAUGGGGCGGAGCCCGAUGAAGAAACGCCGGGUUUGGGAUGCCGGCCUUUCGGUUGAAAACAGGUUCCGCCUAUGACGAAGCGUGCGUGACGGUAAUGGAUAAAGAAGCACCGGCUAACUACGUG
rnacentral:rRNA from 1 species